UACGUAGGUGGCAAGCGUUGUCCGGAUUUACUGGGCGUAAAGAGCGCGCAGGCGGUCUAGUAAGUCGAAUGUGAAAGCCCCCGGCUCAACUGGGGAGGGUCAUUCGAUACUGCUUGACUUGAAGGUAGGAGAGAGAAGCAGAAUUCCCGGUGUAGUGGUGAAAUGCGUAGAUAUUGGGAGGAACACCAGUGGCGAAGGCGGCUCACUGGACCGGUACUGACGCUGAUGCGCGAAAGCGUGGGGAGCAAACGGG
rnacentral:rRNA from 1 species